rnacentral:rRNA from 1 species
UGAGGAAUUUUGGACAAUGGGGGCAACCCUGAUCCAGCGACGCCGCGUGAGGGAUGAAGGUCUUCGGAUUGUAAACCUCUUUUAUUGGGGAAUAAGAAACUUAUGGAAACAUAGGGAGUGAAUGUACCCAAUGAAUAAGCCACGGCUAACUUCGUGCCAGCAGCCGCGGUAAUACGGAGGGUGCGAGCGUUGUCCGGAAUCACUGGGCGUAAAGGGCGCGUAGGCGGCGCGGGCAGUCAACGGUGAAAGCUUGGGGCUCAACCCCGAGUCGGCCGUCGAUACUCCCGGGCUGGAGCACUGUAGAGGCAGGUGGAAUUCCGGGUGUAGCGGUGGAAUGCGUAGAGAUCCGGAAGAACACCGGUGGCGAAGGCGGCCUGCUGGGCAGUAGCUGACGCUGAGGCGCGACAGCGUGGGGAGCAAACAG